UACGUAGGGUGCGAGCGUUAAUCGGAAUUACUGGGCGUAAAGCGUGCGCAGGCGGUUAUCCAAGUCAGAUGUGAAAUCCCCGGGCUUAACCUGGGAAUUGCGUUUGAAACUAGAUGGCUAGAGUGUGGCAGAGGGGGGUAGAAUUCCACGUGUAGCAGUGAAAUGCGUAGAGAUGUGGAGGAAUACCGAUGGCGAAGGCAGCCCCCUGGGCUAACACUGACGCUCAUGCACGAAAGCGUGGGGAGCAAAC
rnacentral:rRNA from 1 species